rnacentral:sRNA from 2 species
UGCCAGACCGAGUAAGCGAGAGCCGAAAGCCGAGCGCAAAGAGGAAGGAAGGCGCGACCAUCGGCCUCAGCGCCGUAAAUAUGCACCCCGCGCGGGGAGCCGGACGCUUCUUGCAUGGCCGGGCGCUCCGGCGCUCAGCCCGGUUUCAUGGCCUCCCCGCAAAGCGGCUGUUCGAGCGCCACUGCUAGCCGUGCGGGGUGCCCUCC